GACGAACGCUGGCGGCGUGCCUAAUACAUGCAAGUCGAGCGGAGCGGCGAACGGGUGAGUAACGCGUGAGUAACUGCCCCCCUCUCUGGGAUAACAGUUGGAAACGGCUGCUAAUACCGGAUAGUGGGGGAUGACUCGCGUCCUAUCAGCUUGUUGGUGGGGUAGGGGCCUACCAAGGCGACGACGGGUAGCCGGCCUGAGAGGGCGACCGGCCCCAAUGGGCGGCGUUACGGCACAAACGCGUACGGGAGGCAGUGGGGGGGAAGAUUGCCCAAUGGGGGAAACCCUGAUGCAGCAGCGCGCGUGCGGGAUGACGGCCUUCGGGUUGUAAAACGGUUUCAGCCAUGACGCGGUAGUGGCAGAAGAAGCACCGGCUAACUACGUGCCAGCAGCCGCGGUAAUAC
rnacentral:rRNA from 1 species